GCUGUAGCUCAAUGGCAGAGUAUCUGCUUUGAAAGCAAUGUGUACCAGGUUCAACCCUUGGCCUCUCCA